rnacentral:rRNA from 1 species
AUUGAACGCUGGCGGCAUGCCUCACACAUGCAAGUCGAACGGUAACGGGCCUUCGGGUGCCGACGAGUGGCGAACGGGUGAGGAAUGUAUCGGAACGUACCUUUCAGUGGGGGAUAACGUAGCGAAAGGUACGCUAAUACCACAUAUUCUGUGUGCAGGAAAGCAGGGGAUCGCAAGACCUUGCGCUGAUUGAGCGGCCGAUAUACGAUUAGCUAGUUGGUGAGGUAAAGGAUCACCAAGGCGACGAUCUGUAGCGGGUCUGAGAGGAUGAUCCGCCACACUGGAACUGAGACGCGGUCCAGACUCCUACGGGAGGCAGCAGUGGGGAAUUUUGGACAAUGGGGGCAACCCUGAUCCAGCCAUGCCGCGUGAGUGAAGAAGGCCUUCGGGUUGUAAAGCUCUUUCGGCCGGGAAGAAAUCGUAUCAGCUAAUACCUGGUGCGGAUGACGGUACCGGCAUAAGAAGCACCGGCUAACUACGUGCCAGCCGCCGCAGUAA